GGGGAAUAUUGCGCAAUGGGGGCAACCCUGACGCAGCCAUGCCGCGUGAAUGAAGAAGGCCUUCGGGUUGUAAAGUUCUUUCGGUGAUGAGGAAGGAGGAUGCAUUAAUAGGGCAUUCAAUUGACGUUAAUCACAGAAGAAGCACCGGCUAACUCCGUGCCAGCAGCCGCGGUAAUACGGAGGGUGCGAGCGUUAAUCGGAAUAACUGGGCGUAAAGGGCACGCAGGCGGAUAAUUAAGUGAGAUGUGAAAUCCCCGAGCUUAACUUGGGAAUUGCAUUUCAUACUGGUUAUCUAGAGUCUUGUAGAGAGGGGUAGAAUUCCACGUGUAGCGGUGAAAUGCGUAGAGAUGUGGAGGAAUACCGGAGGCGAAGGCGGCCCCUUGGACAAAGACUGACGCUCAUGUGCGAAAGCGUGGGGAGCAAAC
rnacentral:rRNA from 1 species